rnacentral:rRNA from 1 species
GCCCUACGGGGCGCAGCAGGCGCGAAAACUUUACAAUGCGGGAAACCGUGAUAAGGGGACACCGAGUGCCAGCAUCAUAUGCUGGCUGUCCAGAUGUGUAAAAUACAUCUGUUAGCAAGGGCCGGGCAAGACCGGUGCCAGCCGCCGCGGUAACACCGGCGGCCCGAGUGGUGAUCGUGAUUAUUGGGUCUAAAGGGUCCGUAGCCGGUUUGGUCAGUCCUCCGGGAAAUCUGAUGGCUCAACCAUUAGGCUUUCGGGGGAUACUGCCAGGCUUGGAACCGGGAGAGGUAAGAGGUACUACAGGGGUAGGAGUGAAAUCUUGUAAUCCCUGUGAGACCACCUGUGGCGAAGGCGUCUUACCAGAACGGGUUCGACGGUGAGGGACGAAAGCUGGGGGCACGAACCGGAUUAGAUACCCGGGUAGUCCCAGCCGUAAACGAUGCUCGCUAGGUGUCAGGCAUGGCGCGACCGUGUCUGGUGCCGCAGGGAAGCCGUGAAGCGAGCCACCUGGGAAGUACGGCCGCAAGGCUGAAACUUAAAGGAAUUGGCGGGGGAGCACAACAACGGGUGGAGCCUGCGGUUUAAUUGGACUCAACGCCGGACAACUCACCGGGGACGACAGCAAUAUGUAGGCCA